GAUGAACGCUGGCGGCGUGCCUAAUACAUGCAAGUCGAGCGAACCACUUCGGUGGUGAGCGGCGAACGGGUGAGUAACACGUAGGUGAUCUGCCCAUCAGACGGGGACAACGAUUGGAAACGAUCGCUAAUACCGGAUAGGACGAAAGUUUAAAGGUGCUUCUGGCACCGCUGAUGGAUGAGCCUGCGGCGCAUUAGCUAGUUGGUAGGGUAAAGGCCUACCAAGGCGACGAUGCGUAGCCGACCUGAGAGGGUGAACGGCCACACUGGGACUGAGAAACGGCCCAGACGCCUACGGGAGGCAGCAGUAGGGAAUCUUCGGCAAUGGGCGAAAGCCUGACCGAGCAACGCCGCGUGAAUGAUGAAGGCCUUCGGGUUGUAAAAUUCUGUUGUAAGGGAAGAACGACUUUAGUAGGAAAUGGCUAGAGUGUGACGGUACCUUAUGAGAAAGCCACGGCUAACUACGUGCCAGCCGCCGCCGUAA
rnacentral:rRNA from 1 species